rnacentral:rRNA from 1 species
GACGAACGCUGGCGGCGUGCUUAACACAUGCAAGUCGAGCGGUAAGUCCUUUCGGGGUACACGAACGGCCAACGGGUGAGUAACACGAGGGUGAUCUGCCCUGCACUUUGCGAUAAGCCUGGGAACCUGGGCCUAAUACCGUAUAUGACCUCCUAUCUCAGGGGGGGUGUUGGAAAGUUGUAUCGGUGCAGGAUGGGCCCGUGGGCUAUCAUCCUGUUGGUUAGGUAAUGGACUACCAAGGCAACGACGGGAAGCCGACUUGAGAGGGUGACCGGCCACACGGGGACUGAGACACGGCCCGGACUCCUACGGGAGGCAGAAGUGGGGAAUAUUGCACGAUGGGGGAAAGCCUGAUGCAGCAACGCCGCGUGAGGGAUGAUGGCCUUCGGGUUGGAGACAUAUUUCAGCGGGGACGAAGCGUAAGUGACGGUACCUGCAGAAGAAGCACCGGCUAACUACGUG